rnacentral:rRNA from 2 species
UUAAGUCUGGAAGCAUGACCUCUACAUGCAAGUCGUACGAGGUUCCGUUGAAUGACGUGCUUGCACUGAUUUUAACAAUGAAGCGAGUGGCGAACUGGUGAGUAACACGUGGGGAAUCUGCCCAGAAGCAGGGGAUAACACUUGGAAACAGGUGCUAAUACCGUAUAACAACAAAAUCCGCAUGGAUUUUGUUUGAAAGGUGGCUUCGGCUAUCACUUCUGGAUGAUCCCGCGGCGUAUUAGUUAGUUGGUGAGGUAAAGGCCCACCAAGACGAUGAUACGUAGCCGACCUGAGAGGGUAAUCGGCCACAUUGGGACUGAGACACGGCCCAAACUCCUACGGGAGGCAGCAGUAGGGAAUCUUCCACAAUGGACGAAAGUCUGAUGGAGCAAUGCCGCGUGAGUGAAGAAGGGUUUCGGCUCGUAAAACUCUGUUGUUAAAGAAGAACACCUUUGAGAGUAACUGUUCAAGGGUUGACGGUAUUUAACCAGAAAGCCACGGCUAACUACGUGCCAGCAGCCGCGGUAAUACGUAGGUGGCAAGCGUUGUCCGAAAAUAAAAAAAGCGUAAAGCGAGCGCAGGCGGUUUUUUAAGUCUGAUGUGAAAGCCUUCGGCUUAACCGGAGAAGUGCAUCGGAAACUGGGAGACUUGAGUGCAGAAGAGGACAGUGGAACUCCAUGUGUAGCGGUGGAAUGCGUAGAUAUAUGGAAGAACACCAGUGGCGAAGGCGGCUGUCUAGUCUGUAACUGACGCUGAGGCUCGAUUGCAUGGGUAGCGAACAGGAUUAGAUACCCUGGUAGUCCAUGCCGUAAACGAUGAGUGCUAAGUGUUGUGGGUUUCCGCCCUUCAGUGCUGCAGCUAACGUAUUAAGCAUCCGCCGGGCCGACGGGCGUCACU